UACGUAGGGUGCAAGCGUUAAUCGGAAUUACUGGGCGUAAAGCGUGCGCAGGCGGUUUUGUAAGUCAGAUGUGAAAUCCCCGGGCUUAACCUGGGAACUGCGUCUGAUACUGGGAGGCUUGAGUAUGGGAGAGGGAGUGUAGAAUUCCAGGUGUAGCGGUGAAAUGCGUAGAUAUCUGGAGGAAUACCGGUGGCGAAGGCGGCAUCCUGGACCAUAACUGACGCUGAGGCGCGAAAGCUAGGGGAGCAAACGGG
rnacentral:rRNA from 1 species